CCGAUGCGGGGCUCGAUCCCAGGACCCUGGGACCAUGACCCGAGCCGAAGGCAGACGCUUAACGACUGAGCCACCCGGGCGCCCCUGUCACUUGUCAUCUUGAGUGACCUCAGUUCUGCCCAACGUCUUGGUCUCCCAGAACCAGGACACUCUCCACCAGGCCCCGUCAGGGACCUUGCCAUCGUUGAAAUGCAGCCCUUCCCAAGUUCUUGAGGCCGCUCUGACCUCAACCUCUUGUCUACCCACGUGCUUGUCUGACUAAGGCUGGACUGUUCCCUGACCACAGGAGCACCUCCUGGCCUCGGGUGUCUGUACUGUCCCUGGCCAGGGGCCCACUGAGGCCGUGGACUCAUCUUCCCUUCCCUAACCUGCACACUCUCCGGGGCUCUCCAUUCGAGCCGUCUCCUGCCCCCCCCACCCCCGAGCCCUCCAUCCUGCCAUCUUCUGCAGCGCCCCCAACCUGGCUGAGAGCCUCACACCUGGGCUGAGAAGUGCCGGCCUGGCCCCCCCACCGCCCCCGCCGCGGCUCUGGGGGUGUCUAGAACACCGUCUGGUACCUGGAAGUUGGCUGGUCAAGAUUUCUGCAAUGAAUUAUGCCGGGUUUCUAGAGUCGGCUUGCUUUUCCUCUCUCGAUUUUAAAUCUUAGUGCUCCUGAAGCUCUGGGGACUCUCACCUCCUCCUCACUCUCAGGUGACCUCGCCUCCUGUUUACAGACCAUACAGAAAUUGUCCUGCUGGAACUGGCUCCCGCACAGGCCCACCUCUUUUCCUCUUGUUACCAAGGAAGACGGACCCAGACUGAGACCAGCCCUCCGCCCGCAGACUCUGAAUAACUUCCCCACCUUCCCUUUUGGGAACUCAUUCCCCGUGGAAGCUCCUCGUCUCACGUCUCACCGUACUUGUCCUUCGGAUAGUGCUCUUCGGAAUCUCAGACUGGCCACCCAUCUGCAAACUCCCGCCAGCCUCCGCCACGGCAGAGCAGACUCAACUGGGGGGGGUACCCCCAAAAGAGGGAAGUCACAAUCUACUGAACUUAGCAGAAAAACUCACGCAUCUGACAAGGAGAAAAUAGGAUCCAGUAAGACAGACUUUAAAGACCAUCACCCAAGUCGUCACAGGAGGCUGCAGGCCGUCUUCUGUCCUCCAGAUUGAAAGCUUUCCGGCGGUUUCCACGAACACAAACUUAACGCCCUGCGAGGAACGAGCGAGCGGCAGAGGAAUCAAAUCCCGCCCUUCCUCUGGGCCUCGUCACUAGCGAAUGCAAGCAAUGCCCACGCUCUCGACCUCAGGGAGGGAGAAGCUGGAGACCGCGUCACCCCCGCAGGCCCGGGCCGCGCUUGCGGGAACCCCGGGGCUGCCGGAGUGCCACUGGGCUCUGCGGCAAGCAGGAUGGGCUGCACGCCAGCGACAGAGCCAGCGGUCCACUCGAGGGACAGAAUCACACCAGGGCUCCGGGCAGCACGCUGCAAGCUAGCUGCCACCAGGCAGUGGAUGGGAGUUUUGCUGCAGAAACUGGGAGGACAGAGGACCCACGCCAGCCCCAGACAGGCCAGUUUCGUCCCAUUCAGCGAUGGCAGAAACCCAGUGCUCGGGAGUUGCAUACUGUGGGCUUGGAGGACCGUGUGGUUUGAGAGGAGCCUCUCCACGAGACAGGGACAGCUUUCCCGUUGUCUUUUUCGACAGAAGGAGCGGCCCUGGAAGCAAAUGGAGGCCGGGGCGCAGGC